GCCNAGCCCUAAAUCCUGAUGCUUACCGUACCAAAGCAUCCGCCUGGGAACUACGAGCRCAAACGCUUAAAACUCUAAGGACUUGGCGGUGUCCCAAACCCACCUAGAGGAGCCUGUUCUAUAAUCGAUAACCCACGAUUCACCCGACCACCUCUUGCCAGAGCAGCCUACAUACCGCCGUCGCCAGCUCACCUCCCCUGAGAGCCCAACAGUGAGCACAAUAGCCCAACCCACUAACAAGACAGGUCAAGGUAUAGCCCAUGGGGUGGAAGAAAUGGGCUACAUUUUCUACAAUAGAAAACCUACGAAAGAGGGUAUGAAAUAACCCCCGGAAGGCGGAUUUAGCAGUAAAGGGGGACAAUAGGGCCCCCUUUAAGUUGGCCCUGGGGCACG
rnacentral:rRNA from 1 species